rnacentral:rRNA from 1 species
AUUGAACGCUGGCGGCAUGCCUUACACAUGCAAGUCGAACGGCAGCACGGAGCUUGCUCUGGUGGCGAGUGGCGAACGGGUGAGUAAUAUAUCGGAACGUACCCUAGAGUGGGGGAUAACGUAGCGAAAGUUACGCUAAUACCGCAUACGAUCUAAGGAUGAAAGUGGGGGAUCGCAAGACCUCAUGCUCGUGGAGCGGCCGAUAUCUGAUUAGCUAGUUGGUAGGGUAAAAGCCCACCAAGGCAUCGAUCAGUAGCUGGUCUGAGAGGACGACCAGCCACACUGGAACUGAGACACGGUCCAGACUCCUACGGGAGGCAGCAGUGGGGAAUUUUGGACAAUGGGCGAAAGCCUGAUCCAGCAAUGCCGCGUGAGUGAAGAAGGCCUUCGGGUUGUAAAGCUCUUUUGUCAGGGAAGAAACGGUGAGAGCUAAUAUCUCUUGCUAAUGACGGUACCUGAAGAAUAAGCACCGGCUAACUACGUGCCAGCAGCCGCGGUAAUACGUAGGGUGCAAGCGUUAAUCGGAAUUACUGGGCGUAAAGCGUGCGCAGGCGGUUUUGUAAGUCUGAUGUGAAAUCCCCGGGCUCAACCUGGGAAUUGCAUUGGAGACUGCAAGGCUAGAAUCUGGCAGAGGGGGGUAGAAUUCCACGUGUAGCAGUGAAAUGCGUAGAUAUGUGGAGGAACACCGAUGGCGAAGGCAGCCCCCUGGGUCAAGAUUGACGCUCAUGCACGAAAGCGUGGGGAGCAAACAGGAUUAGAUACCCUGGUAGUCCACGCCCUAAACGAUGUCUACUAGUUGUCGGGUCUUAAUUGACUUGGUAACGCAGCUAACGCGUGAAGUAGACCGCCUGGGGAGUACGGUCGCAAGAUUAAAACUCAAAGGAAUUGACGGGGACCCGCACAAGCGGUGGAUGAUGUGGAUUAAUUCGAUGCAACGCGAAAAACCUUACCUACCCUUGACAUGGCUGGAAUCCUUGAGAGAUCAGGGAGUGCUCGAAAGAGAACCAGUACACAGGUGCUGCAUGGCUGUCGUCAGCUCGUAUCGUGAGAUGUUGGGUUAAGUCCCGCAACGAGCGCAACCCUUGUCAUUAGUUGCUACGAAAGGGCACUCUAAUGAGACUGCCGGUGACAAACCGGAGGAAGGUGGGGAUGACGUCAAGUCCUCAUGGCCCUUAUGGGUAGGGCUUCACACGUCAUACAAUGGUACAUACAGAGCGCCGCCAACCCGCGAGGGGGAGCUAAUCGCAGAAAGUGUAUCGUAGUCCGGAUUGUAGUCUGCAACUCGACUGCAUGAAGUUGGAAUCGCUAGUAAUCGCGGAUCAGCAUGUCGCGGUGAAUACGUUCCCGGGUCU